AUUGAACGCUGGCGGCAGGCCUAACACAUGCAAGUCGAGCGAGCGGCGGACGGGUGAGUAAUGUAUGGGGAUCUGCCCGAUAGAGGGGGAUAACUACUGGAAACGGUGGCUAAUACCGCAUACUAUCGGAUGAACCCAUAUGGGAUUAGCUAGUUGGUGAGGUAAUGGCUCACCAAGGCGACGAUCCCUAGCUGGUCUGAUAGGAUGACCAGCCACACUGGAACUGAGACACGGGCCAGACUCCUACGGGAGGCAGCAGUGGGGAAUAUUGCACAAUGGGCGCAAGCCGGAUACAGACAUGCCGCGUGUGUGAAGAAGGCCUUCGGGUUGUAAAGCACUGUCAGCGAGGAGGCGUUACGCGCAGAAGAAGCACCGGCUAACUCCGUGCCAGCAGCCGCGGUAAUAC
rnacentral:rRNA from 1 species